rnacentral:lncRNA from 1 species
GGCCGGGGGAGGACAGGGGAGAGGGAAAGAAAGGAGGGGGGAGGGCCGAGGGUGGGCAGCGGAAAUACCGCGGCAGGGGGACGGGAAGGGGACGCUGCUGGUAUGGAGGUUGUGGCUGGGAGAGCUGGCGUGGGGGCUUUGGAGGUCUCAGGGCCAGGACCAGGCGAGAAGGUACCGGUGGGGGUCGGGGCCCGGGCCGCAGGCCAAAGUUCUGCGGGCGCCGAGGGGAUGAGGGAGAAAGGAGGGCGGUAAAUGAACCAGGACCACGGCGGCCUGGGUCUGCGCACCUCUUGGUAGCGGCGGUGUGCAGUGCUGGUUGGAGGUGGGUGGCUCGCCGAGGUGGGUGCGGCCCUAGGAGCAGCAUUCACGCCCUGAGAAUCCGCAGCGGUGCAGUCGGUGGCCAGGACUCUAACCUGACAACCAAACGGGCGCCUGGGGGAGCUGUCCGCCCGUGGGUGCUGAUCAGCGCUAGUCGGAGCUGUUCCGCACUGGGUGCUGAUUGGAUCGACGAGGAUUUCUCCCUAAAACAUCCUAACCCUGGGACGGAAACAGCCAUUUCCCUGACGAGUGCAGAGUCUGCAGAGAGAUAUUGGUGGGCACGGAAAGAAGUUGAAGUUACCUUCAUUGAGGCAACCUAUGCUCUUGGCUCUGUUCCAAGUAUGGACAGCCUCCAGCCUGAAACUUGGGCUUGGUGAAUUGUUCUUUGGAGAAAGCAAAGGCAGAAAUGGAGCCAGUUGUAAAAGUGAGAGGGAAGAUCAAAGUUAAGAUGGGCAAACUAGAGAGGAAGAGGCAGGAAGCCUCUGUGAAGAAUUGGUCCAAGAUGGAAUUAUUUCUGGAGGAAGAAUGAGGCAUUAGCAUAUUAAGGCUGGAAAUCACAAGCAAAGGAGCUAAGAUUCUCAAAGAGGGAGACACCCUGCUCUGCCAGUUCCUUGAUUUAUGAACACUAACGAUGUGUGAUUCUCUCAAUUCUAGUGACUUCUCUGUGAAAAGCCUCCAGUAGUUCUCAGGAUUCAUCUAGAACUGUACAACUUUGAAGUCAUCUCAGAUUAUAACUACCAUGCCCUCCAUGAGCCUUUUUAUCCAAAAGCCUUCCUCUUAUCAGACAAUACCAGAUUCUAAAAAUCUAAACAGCAUGGGAGGAUUUUACCACCCAUUUUACCUGUGGAAGUUCACAUCUAAUCUCUAGAGCACAGGGUCUGAGAGAUUGUGGUACUGAUCUUUACCCACCAACUUUCUGAACGUAGGCCAAUUGUUCGAUGCAUCAGAACUUCGGUUUCUUUCUCUUUUUUAAAAUUUUAUUUAUUUAUUUAUUUAUUUAUUUAUUUACUUUUGCCCUUUUGAGACAGAAUCUCCCUAUAGCCACAGCUGGCCUGGAUUCACUAUGGAAACCAGGCUGGCCUUGAACUCACAGAGAUCAGCCUGUCUCUGCCUCCCAAGUGCUGAGAUUAAAGGCAUGCACCACCACACCCGGACCUUAAUUUUGUAUUUUCUUAUUUUUAUGUGUAUGAGUGUUUUGCCUGCAUGUAUAUAAGUGCACCUGUGUCAUGCAAUGCCCUCAGAGGCCAGAAGAGGAUUUUGGAUCCCCUGGAACUGGAGUUAUGGAUGGUUGUUAGCCACCAUGUGGGUGCUAGCAAACCCUAGUCCUCUGCAAAAGCAGCCAGUGCUACUACAUACUGAACCCACUUCUUGGAAUUAAUCCUCUGGUUUAUAUGCUGAGCCAUCUCUCCAGCCCCCAUUUUAGUUUUGUUUUUUGCGACAAGGUCUCUGGCUAGCCUGGAACUCACUAACUAGGCUGACCCCAAACUCACAAAGAUCCACCAACCUCUCCCUCCAGAGUACUGGAUUAAAGGUGUGUAUCACCAUAUCCAGCUAAGACCUCAGUUUUUUCAUCUGACAAUGAUGCUAUGAAAAUACCUGACACACAUAAAGCUCAAAACACAAUGAUUUAUGCAUGAUCACUUAAUGUGCACCCUUCCCCUGCUCGUCACACUUGGGCCCAGCUCCUCUGAAUACCUUAGGACCACUUUGUGCAGUCCAAGGAUGUUAGUGAAAGGGAAGAACCUCCUUCCUAAGGGAGUUUGUAUUUUUAGCAUCAUGAUCUUUCAAACUUUUUUAAAAAAUAUUUUAUUAUUUUAAUUGUGUGUGUAUGAGUGUAUUGCCUGCAUGUAUGUGAGUGCACCUGUGUCGUGCAAUGCCGCGGAGGUCAGAAGAGGGCUUCGGAUUCCCCUGGAACUGGAAUUAAGGACGGUUUGUAGCUGCCAUGUGGGUGCUGGGAAUCAAACCCGGGUCCUCUGCAAGGGCAGUCAGUUCUCUUAACUGCUGAGCCAUCUCUCCAGCCCCUUAAAACUUUUUAAAAUUUUUAUUUGUUAUUUUUAUUUUAUGUGUAUGCACAUAUUGCCUGCAUGUAGGUAAGUGCACCCGUGUCGUGCAAUGCCCAUGGAGGUCAGAAGAGGCUGUCAGAUCCCCUGGGACUGGAAUUACGGACAGUUAUUAGCUGCCAUGUGGGUGCUGGUAUUUGAACCCCGGUCUUCUGCAAGGACAACCAGUGUUCUUAACUGCUGAGCCAUCUCUCCAGCCCCAGUAUCAUAAAUUUUUAAUCAAACUUGUGUAUUUUCCUUAUAUUAGCCUCAGACCAUCACUUGAAAAAUGACAGAUCCAGGUCCACAGGGAACUGAGCAAUCCCUCUGGAAGUUCUUUCUUUCCUCUGAUUGUGAGCCCCAUGCAUUAUUGGUUUCUUACUGCCUGACUACCACUCUUGUUGUUAAGACUCCUUUCCCUCCUCCUAAAGUGGAUUUUUUAUUUAUUUAUUUUUUUCCUAUGGUCCACCAAUGGCAUUGACAAUUAGGCACAAAAUUGAUUGGGCUUAUAAGGGCCACAGCAGUACCAAAGAGGUCAGAGGAUAUUCUCUGGCAAAUUUCUCACAAAUUUGAAAAUAAACAAGUGCAAGCCUCCAGUCUUUUACUUCAUUCAUAGUGCACAGAAGCCACAAACAUAAAAUAAAAAUGCCCAUGAAUAAACCGAAAAUAACAUUAUUUAAUAAAGAUGAAGAGUGAGAGUUAUAUCUUGUCAGCAUUGCUGUCACGACCAUCACUUUACUACCUCCUGAAUCUUGAUUUCAAACAUCCAGUUCUCUAUGUUACCCUAUUUUUUUCUCUCUUGUUCUAUUACCAUGAUAUAAUUCUUUAACUCCAUAAUAACCAUGUUCCAGUUACCAUUUCUGUGUAAUAAAUGAUCCACAAAUUUAGUGGAUUAAAACCACCAUUUUAAAAUACAAAGAAUAAUAGUCUGCAGAGUGUGGGUCCUUGGACAGGACUCCUAUAUUAAAAUCUACCCACCCAGGGCUCAGGGAUCAUUGUGGAAGAGGAGUCAGAAAGAUUGUAAGUCCCAGAGAGGAGGUGCAUGACCAUAUGGAAAUAGUCCUACAGGCUCCUGGGACUCUUCUCGUACAAACCUAUAGCAAUGGUGUCAGCAUAUACAAGACCCAUACAAACUCAAGCAGACAAAAUCCAGCACAGAACUGUGGAAAUGAACAGCAGGCCCAAUCUUAGUCAAAGAAUUAUUGGCAGCUGAUUACUGCUGGGAGAGAAUGAGCUGAUCUUCUUAAAGGGAGGAGUUCUAGAUAGACUGACUAGAUCCCAGUGGAUGAAUUUGCACUGAGGGACAUCUGGGGACACUAACUUUACAUGAUAG